UAUUUCUUAUUUACAUUUCGAUUGUUAUUUCCCUUCCUGGUUUCUGGGCCAACAUCCUCCUAACUCUUCCCCUCCCCAUCCUCCCCCAUUACCACCCUCCCCCCAACAAUCAGGUUCACUAGGUGUUCAGUCUUGGCAGGACCAAAGGCUUCCCCUUCCACUGGUGCUCUUACUAAGUUAUUCAUUGCUACCUAUGAGGUCAGAGUCCAGGGUCAGUCCAUGUAUAGUCUUUGGGUAGCGGCUUAGUCCCUGGAAGCUCUGGUUGGUUGACAUUGUUAUUCAUAUGGGGUCUCGAGUCCCUUCAAGCUCUUCCAGUUCUUUCUCUGAUUCCUUCAACAGGGGUCCCAUUCUCAGUUCAGUGGUUUGCUGCUGGCAUUCGCCUCUGUAUUUGCUGUAUUCUGGGAUCACACUACUUUUUGAUGGUUAAAUUUACACUUACAUUUUUUUUAACUUUAAAACGGAAACAUUCUCUGUAUAACGCUCCAAGAAAGUAUAUUUUUGAAGUGGGAACAUAUAGAGUAAAAAUGAAAGCGAACUGACUUUAGUUUUCCUCUUGCUAGAAUGCUCUGUUAGCAGCCUUCUCAGAGGAAAACUGAUUUGGCAAGAAGGGUCAUAGGGAGCUCAGUCCAUCCUUAAUGGCACUUGGCGUGGAGAGACUUUUAGGCUCACAAAGGAUGAAAGCUUGUUUUCCUAAUGUUGAUUUCUUUGGUCUGGGAGACUAGAUCAGACUCUGGCUGAGUCAGCUGUUCUUCUUAAGCAAGCCAGGGUCAAAUGUUGACCUUCGCAGCCCAUACGCAGCCAUUCUAAAUGUCAGCAGGGCACCGUGAACCGUACACGGAAUCAUGAGGAAUCGUGAGGUGAUAGAGACGCGGAAGGAAACUUAAGGCAUCAGCUCUUUCACUUUAAUGAGGAUGAAAAUGAGCCAAUAAAUUCUAACAGCCAUGAAAAGUCAGAGGAUCUCUUGAGUCCUGCCUGCUAAGCCAAGUGGACACAGGAAGGACUGAAGCUCGCUGCGUGGAAUAUUCUAGAGUUCUUGAAACUGGGCUAUUUUAGCAUCUUGCUCUCUGUUUCUACAAAGAUGACUCAUAGAAGAAUAAAUUAUAGCAAUAAAUACUGAGACUGCUUUGACCAAUUAAAGUUGCCAUCUGCUUAAUUUCUUUGGAGAAUUCCUCCAGAAAAGUCACUGUACAGUUGAUUAAUGGCAUCUUGGGAGUUUUCCACCAAACAGGAACCAAAAGUUUCCUCUCACCUCAUUUAAAAAAUAUGUGCUAUAGGGAAGGCAAACUUCCCAAAUAUAAAUCGAUGAGACAGCAGUUUUGAAGAAGCUCUAAUUCCUAAAGGUCUCUCGUGUCAAGUUCCCGGAGGAAAGAUUUAACUUUAUUUUAUAUUUGUUGAAAGAAAUGAAGUGAAAUUCUGAAUAAAGUAUGACAGGCUUAAUGUGUCUGAAGGAUUGUUGCUGAAAGAAGCAGGAGGGGCUGACUGAGGGUCUCAGACCACACAGCCUUGCUUAGUUUGGGACUAAGUCAGGACUCAGGUAACGUUCGAGCUAUUGCUUGUCAGCCAUGUGACUUGGGGGUUUGUCCUUCACCUUCCACAAAACAAAGCUAAAUGACAAUCGCUCAUCUACUCCAAGAGAGUACAACAGACUGAUGGAGAUGCUUCCCCACUUUGCCUUAGCUCUAAAUCUAAAGUGAUAGUUCUGUAUCAGGGCCGCUAAGUGAGAGCUAAUGGAAAACAGUUAUAUGGUUAUAGGAGUUGAAACCUUCCCUCCUGGGGCAGGAGAGCAGCCCCAGUGACUUAAACUAAGGAAACGCACACCCUUGGGAGGCUAAGAGAGUCCACAGGAGUCAUGGGUCCUUCCAGAUAAGGAUAAGCAAUAAAAUUGCUAGAGGAAGCAUUCUCUUCAAUGGAGCUGUCUGCAACGUGUGUGUGUUGGGGAAGUAGGGCAGGACUCCAGGGAUGCUGCCUUCCCAGCUGGGGCUUUCUUGUGAUAGAGCUGCCUGAGUGGCCUAUCCUACCUCAUCUGUGUCUCUGCAAGUAAUCCCAGUCAACGCAUCCAUUCGCCAAACUAGCUUGGCAAAUAGGCACUUGUUCAUCUCUCCCCGGGAAAAUUCACACAAUGGGAACCAUGAACUUAAACAAAUCUUCCAGUUAAUGCAGAUUGUCAGAGUAUGCGAGACGUAAAUUAUGUUAUAAUUCUCCAUAAAGACUUCUCAUCCUGUCUGUAUACAUGGUAAAUACGAUGAAGCUUGAUCGUGUGCACCAAUCAGGCCUGACUUGAGAACCUCAUGGGGCAGGGGAUGGGUCGGCGUUGAUCACUGCCCAUUGCUGAUAUGGUUUCAGUGUAUUUCUGCUCACUCUCUGAGAUAAGGAAUGGGAUAUUGGGAAGCACGUGGUUUCUCAGGGGGGAAAAUCCUCAUCCUUUCCUUAAUUUGUAAUUAGCAUGUCACAGAAUGAAACCUAGCUCUGAAAAUGGCCUGAAGAUUCUUGAUCACCACAGCAACACUUAUUCUGUGCUUCCAGAGCAAACCGCCUUUCAGUCAGUACGCCAAGCUGAUUAAAAUGGACUUAUUAAAAAUGAACUCUUCAGGGAUGAGGAACACCUCCCAACCUCACGACACUGCUUAGUACAAAAGAAUGGGUUCUAAGCUUACCAACUCGAUUCUGCAAUAGCACCCCUUAAGACAGGUUUUUUCCAAAAAAAACUAUAGGUGGUGGAUAUUUACAUUAUCCAUGGAUCUGUAUGGAAAAAAACAGGCAUGGUAUAGGUAUGGAAGAGAGAGAAAGCAAAGGAGAGGAAGGAGAAAGGAAGGAGGAGGGGUGGGGAAGGAAAAGAGGGAGGCAGGGAGGUAGAGCCAGCAGGGCUAGCAUCCUCCUCGGGACUGUGACUCAGCAUGCUGGGCAUCAUGGAUAUUACUUAACAGAAACUUGGGCUCCUAAAAUUCCUGUAUAAUAUAUAAAGGGGAGGUGGUUUGCUUUCUGUGGCCACAGAGGAACAAAUACAUUGUACUUCAAGGUGUCUGACUUAAGCUUAAAACCCUGAUACAGACACCAGAUAUCUUUGACAACUUAGCUGUAGAGACAUGGGUUCAAUACUCAAAGUACACACCACCCCCUGUUAACCAAAUACCAAGGGGCAUCAGAGAGACCUCUAUUUUCUAUCCACAACAGUGCCGGGAACAUAAGAUCUAAAUGUGCCAGAUACGUGACAAUCUUAGUGGAUCCUCAUGCUGUUACUGAUCAAGAUUAAUUGCCAUGGUUUGUAGUUUUAAAAAAUCUGUCAUUGACAUCAAGAUAAUUUCAAAACAAAUGUUCAUCUGUGACUCACACACAGAAAGAAAGGCUUUCUGGGGAUCUAGCUGACCCAAAGGGAAUUAAAUCUCUUCCAACUCCUUCUCGAGUUCAUUUCCUCACAGAGGAAAGACCAGGAGAGAACUGGGUAGAGAUAUCUCUCUUUGGGGUAGUUCUGUGACCCCCAGAAUGUUUGAAACACCCUCAGAUCCAUGCAGAAAACGUAUCACACGGUCUCCCUUUAAAAAACCAAGUUGAUAUUCACCUAAUAUAAACCAAUAUUUCCCACAUUGAUGGGCCUUUGUACGAUCUGUCAAUCUAUUUAAAAAUAUGCUCCCCUCCACAAUUUGUCAUUUUUAUGGCAAAAAAUGCCCUUUGCUUACGCAUUCUGAGACACAUAGUGCGGUUUACUUUUUUCUGAGACAUAUAAGACAGUUUACGUAUCCAGUUACCCUGCCAUUAGACAGCACAUCACAGUUUCUCAUUCCUAUCUACUGACUCAGUAGCCAAUGAUCCGUACCCCCUUUCCCCAAUCUCCCCAGCCUCUGGUAACCACCAUUCUACCCACAGCUUUUAUGAGACCAACUCCUUCAGAUUCCACACUGGGGUAAGGUCACAGGGGGCUCAUCUUUCUGUGCCUCACUUCCUCAGCUUGACAUAAUGCCCACAAAUUUGAUCCAUGUUACAUCACCUGACAAGACUACAUUCUUCUCAUAGCUGACUAGUGCUUUAUUGUAGCAUGUAACACAUUUUCUUUAUCCCUUCAUCCAUUGAUAGCUGCUUGGUUCCGUGGCUAUUACCGAUGGCCCCUCAUAAAACAUGGAAGAACGCAGAACUCUUUGAUAGAUAUAUUUUAGAAACGUACCAAGACAUAGACUAACUGGCUCACACAGUGGCUGUAAUUUUAUGGAACUUCCGUUUGGCUUUCUGUAACAGGUUUCUAAUUGACCCCCUCACCAAUCAACAGUAUACAUUUCUCGUUUCUCCAUGCACACAGGGGGAGUUCCUUAAGGCUUUUUUAUCCUUUUGGAUACCAGUCGUUCUUACUAUGUGAGGCACUCAUCUUCAUAGUACCACACGCACUACAUUAAAUCCUAUCAGUUCUCAAAAACAAUUAUUUGGGGCUGGCAAGAUACCUCAGUGAGAAGAGGUGCUUGCUGCUAAGUCUAAGAGCCUGAGUUCGAACCCCAGAACCAACCCCUACAAGCUGUCCUUCAAUCUCCACAUGUGUGAAGCAGCAUUUGGUCACCUACUCCCUGUCCCCCAAAUAUAAAUAGUUGUACAAAAAAAGAAAAACAAGAAAGAAAGGAAAUUCUCGUUAUUUCUAAAGUAACCUGUUUGUUUCCCCACUGAAACUGUCCCGUCUACAACUUGAAUAUAUAAACCUUUAAUUUUAUCUGCGGAAUAAGCCAUCUCCUUCGCUCAUUAGCCCCACUGUUGAAAUGGGUACGUUUUCUCUUAUUAACAUACCUUUUGUCGAUUUAAUCUGCAACACCCAGAGACUGAUUUAAGAGGACAGGAGAAAAUUUGACUGUUGUUCUUUUAGACAAGAGCACUGAUUAGGGGUUUCUGGGGGACUAUUUGGGGGGAAGAGGAUUUGUGAUGCCGGAAGGAUGUCAGAGAUGUAAUAUUGGGACAAAUCUCAGCGCAGCUGUCAGAGGCCACCUCGAUCUCAGGGUCCGCACUUCCCGUGCUGUGCGGCAUUUGAUGGUUCAUCUCUAAUUCAACGUUUUUCUUUCCCGAGCAGAUAAUAUUGAUCCAGAAGACUGACACAAGAAACAUCCAAAAUUUGAGCUCGGAAAUUGUCUUCCCCUUCUAUGCUGGCGCUCCAGAUGUGUACACCACGGAACAAACACCCUGGUGUUCAAUCUCAAAAGCAGAGUUAAUUUCCGCCUCUCCCCUUUUCCUCCCCACACAGACAUUUCCUGGUAUUUAAAGUGCAGCUAACAACUUCACUCGCUCUUUGAAUUUUCAGUGGCAUAUGCACAAAAAUUAAGAAAUACUUAGGGAAAGUAAUUUAAUUUCGCAAAUGCAAAGCUAAUCUGUUCAUCAUAGAGGCAGUAAAACAUAAGAGGUUUCUAUAAGGGAACUCUCUGUUUAAAAAAAAAACUCACAGAAAUGAAUUACGGUGGGGCCAGGAUCUAGGAAGCAGAAUCUUAGAUGUCGGAGGCACAUUUAUAUGGCCAGGAGUUUGAAACCAUGGCAGCUUCAAAUGCUGGUAUCCUGACCAGACUGCUUGAGGUAACAUUGUAUCCUCUUGGGUUUUAUUAUUGUUGUCAUUGUUGUUGUGGUGGUGGUGGUGGUGGCAGUGGUGGUUGUUUUUGUUGUUGUUGUUAUUAUUAUUAUUAUUAUUAUUAUUAUUAUUAUUAUUUCAAGACUUCUCAGUCCUGGCAGAAGAAGAAAAAUGUCUGCAAGUUGAGAAGAACCAACUCAAAAGGGAAGGGAUGUGAGCGAUGGGAGAUAUACAUACUCAUCUUCCUUUGAUCUAGUUGAGAGGGGACAGAGGGCUGUAGAUGAGAUCCACUUAUGGGACUCCAUGUUCUCUCUCCAAUGUUGGUGUCCUGAAGAUGCAACCCUGGUCUGUAGACUUAGUGGUACCUGCUAAGCCAUCUUCUGCCUUGACACAUGCAUUCUUCUAAAAAAGGGUUUAGUAGUUGUCCAUCUGUGUUUGGACCUUAAGUAACUUGGGGCAUAAUUUUUUCCUUUUUCUGUAUGACCAGUAAAGAUCCUUGAGAAUGUCUCGAUAUCCAUAAGGUUAAAAUUAAGUAGUGGAUAAAAAAAAUACCAAUUGGACUUACCUGUUUCUCUGCCAUGUCUGUGUCUGUUGUAAUUACCUCAAGCAUUAGAUUACUGGAUUACGGGCUUGAUUUUCUGCAUAUGUGUGAGUGUAUAUGUGUUCGGGUGGGGAGAGCAUGUAUGUGAGUGCAGCUGCAUCCAUGUAUGUGCACAUGUGUGGAAGCUGAUGACCAUCUUUAGGAGUCAUUCCCCCAUUUUGUUUUCUGGGGGUGUGAUCUCUGUGGCUAGAGUCUGGGGCUCACUGAUCAGGCUAGUCUAGCCCCUGGCAAGUUCAGGGAUCCACUGCCUGUGACUAAAAGCAUACACCACCACAUCUUGCUUACUAUGUAGGUUCUGGGGAUUGAACUCUGAUCUUCAUGUUUGUAUGUAAGCACUUUGCCAGCAGCUGAGCCCUCUUUUCAGACAACCUUCUUCUUCUUCUUCUUCUUCUUCUUCUUCUUCUUCUUCUUCUUCUUCUUCUUCUUCUUCUUCUUCUUCUUCUUCUUCUUCCUCUUCUCCCUCUUCUUCCUCUUCUUCCUCCUCCUCUUCCUCCUCCUCCUCCUCUUCUUCUUCCUCUUCCUCCUCCUUCUCCUCCCCUCCUCCUCAUCCUCCCCUCCUCCUCCUCCUCCUCCACCACCACUAGCACUACCACCACCACCAUCAUCAUCAUCAAAUUGUUUUAAUUGGCAUACAGAGUAAUGGGCUUUGUCAUGGCAUUUCAUCCAUGUAUCAUUGGACUUCGUAUACCCCAACCCCCUCUUACACUGUCCUCCUCUGAAGCCCCUCUUCCCCUUUGCCUGGCUCCAUUCCUUUCCCCCAACCUAGUCCCCCCUACUGUUAUCAUGUCUUUUAUACUCCAUUACCCCACUUAAUACCUAGUUGUAAUAACAUCUUAACAGUAUUCUUCAACGAACAAACAGGGCAGAAGGCUUUUCUUUGCAGCGUUGAGGGUGGAACACGUGUUCUUAGACAGUGGGGAUUUAAAUUCACUGAGCAACAUGUGAGGACCAUGAAAGAGCUCUUGGACUGCUUCUACACACCAUGUAGAAGAUCCUGAGCCACGCAUGUGAGAGCCUGUUGCAGACCCUCCUCCUAUGACUCUGACAGUCCGGCAUACCUUCGUUCCUCCUAAGCAGCAUAUUGCUGAAAAAUAGCUAAAUUUUAUAUUUUAUCCUCAUCAAUUUUGUUUAUUACUUCUGUGUAUGAGCAUGUGCGCUGGGAAUGGGGAUAGGGUGGGGCAUACAUGUGCCACCUGCACCAGACAACUCUUUCAAGUUCAUUCUCUCCUUAUAUCUUUAGAUGCUAAGGAUCAGACUCAGAUCACCAGGCUUGUUCAACAAGUGUCUUUUCCCCUCUGGCUUGUACUUAAACAGCAGCAGCAGCAGCAACAGCAACAACAAACCAGAGACAUCAAAUCCGUUUCUAAUGAUGAUGUCACUGAUAUCUGGAUCACAUGUCUUAAACAUGGAUUCUACUCAGCUACUGAAAGAUCAGGAUGCAGAAUGUGCAGCUACUUCUCCAGAACCAUCAUCCCACGACGAGGAUAAUGGACUAACCUCUGAUACUGUCAAUGAGUCCCGGUCAAAUGCUUUCUUUUAUAAGAGUUUCCGUGGUCAUGGAGUCUCUUCCCAGCAAUAGAACAGUGACUAGGAGAUCAGGCUGACACUGCUGGUUGUGUUGGUGAGGGGAUUUCCAAUACUUAGCGCUUGAGGACUCUGAUCGGAAUGGAUGGAGUAAUCCUUGGAUGAGUUCAGAAUAUGAUGACAGUAUCAGGAGAUGCUAAGGUAAGACUGGGGCCAGGGACCAGGCACUUCCUGUGUUUACCAGAAGUCCCACGCCCGCGGAUCCCGGCCCGCAGCAGCUCUCUGCUCCCAGACCCUGUGGGAAAGAGACCUCACCACCUGGUCAGGUGGGCACUCCUGAGGCUGCAGAGCGGAAGAGACCACCAACACUGCCCACCCCUGCCCACAUCCCUGGCCCAAGAGGAAACUGUAUAAGGCCUCUGGGCUCCCGUGUGGGAGGGCCCAGGAGCGGCAGGACCCCUGCCUGAGACACCGCCGGAACCUGAGGGAAACAGACCAGAUAAACAGUUCUCUGCACCCAAAUCCCGUGGGAGGGAGAGCUGAACCUUCAGAGAGGCAGACAAGCCUGGGAAACCAGAAGAGACUGCUCUCUGUACAUACAUCUCGGACGCCAGAGGAAAACACCAAAGGCCAUCUGGAACCCUGGUGCACUGAAACUCCUGCAAGGGGCAGCACAGGUCUUCCUGGUUGCUGCCGCUGCAGAGAGCCCUUGGGCAGCACCCCGCCUGGUGAACUCAAGACACAGGCCCACAGGAACAGCUGAAGACCCGUAGAGAGGAAAAACUACACACCCGAAAGCAGAACACUCUGUCCCCAUAACUGACUGAAAGAGAGGAAAACAGGUCUACAGCACUCCUGACACACAGGCUUAUAGGACAGUCUAGCCACUGUCAGAAAUAGCAGAACAAAGUAACACUAGAGAUAAUCUGAUGGCGAGAGGCAAGCGCAGGAACCCAAGCAACAGAAACCAAGACUACAUGGCAUCAUCAGAGCCCAAUUCUCCCACCAAAACAAACAUGGAAUGUCAAAACACACCAGAAAAGCUAGAUCUAGUUUCAAACUCUUAUUUGAUCAUGAUGCUGGAGGACUUCAAGAAAGACGUGAAGAACUCCCUUAGAGAACAAGUAGAAGCCUACAGAGAGGAAUCGCAAAAAUCCCUGAAAGAAUUCCAGGAAAACACAAUCAAACAGUUGAAGGAAUUAAAAAUGGAAAUAGAAGCAAUCAAGAAAGAACACAUGGAAACAACCCUGGAUAUAGAAAACCAAAGGAAGAGACAAGGAGCCGUAGAUACAAGCAUCACCAACAGAAUACAAGAGAUGGAAGAGAGAAUCUCAGGAGCAGAAGAUUCCAUAGAAAUCAUUGACUCAACUGUCAAAGAUAAUGUAAAGCAGAAAAAGCUACUGGUCCAAAACAUACAGGAA